rnacentral:pre_miRNA from 1 species
CAAAUACUCCCUCCGUCCGGAAAUACUUGUCAUCAAAAUAGAUAAAAGGAAAUGUAUCUAGACAUAUUUUAGUUUUAGAUAUAUCUCUUUUUAUCCAUUUUGAUGACAAGUAUUUUCGAACGGAGGGAGUAGAAA